rnacentral:rRNA from 1 species
UACGUAGGGUGCGAGCGUUGUCCGGAAUUAUUGGGCGUAAAGAGCUCGUAGGCGGUGUGUCACGUCGUUCGUGAAAACCUGCAGCUUAACUGUGGGCGUGCGGUCGAUACGGGCAUCACUGGAGUUCGGCAGGGGAGACUGGAAUUCCUGGUGUAGCGGUGAAAUGCGCAGAUAUCAGGAGGAACACCGGUGGCGAAGGCGGGUCUCUGGGCCGAUGACUGACGCUGGAGGAGCGAAAGCGUGGGGAGCAAACAGG